AACAUGGAGAGUUUGAUCCUGGCUCAGGAUGAACGCUGGCGGCGUGCUUAACACAUGCAAGUCGAACGAACUCUUCGGAGUUAGUGGCGGACGGGUGAGUAACGCGUGAGGAUCUGGCCUUAGGAGGGGGACAACAGCUGGAAACGGCUGCUAAUACCCCAUAUGCCGAGAGGUGAAAUGGUUAAUUCCGCCUGAGGAUGAACUCGCGUCAGAUUAGCUAGUUGGUGGGGUAAGAGCUUACCAAGGCGACGAUCUGUAGCUGGUCUAAGAGGAUGAUCAGCCACACUGGGACUGAGACACGGCCCAGACUCCUACGGGAGGCAGCAGUGGGGAAUUUUCCGCAAUGGGCGAAAG
rnacentral:rRNA from 1 species